UACCAGCACCCCGAGUGGUCGGGACGGUUAUUGGGCCUAAAGCAUCCGUAGCCGGCCUUACAAGUCCUCCGUUAAAUCCAGCUGCUUAACAGAUGGGCUGCGGAGGAUACUAUAAGACUAGGAGGCAGGAGAGGCAAGCGGUACUCAGUGGGUAGGGGUAAAAUCCGUUGAUCCAUUGAAGACCACCAGUGGCGAAGGCGGCUUGCCAGAAUGCGCUCGACGGUGAGGGAUGAAAGCUGGGGGAGCAAACCGG
rnacentral:rRNA from 1 species